rnacentral:lncRNA from 1 species
GGGCUAUAAGGGAACUAGAAUGCAGUUGUUAGCAGCAGCGAAUCUGCAUGGGUCUGCAGCAACCUCAAGUCUCCUCAGAAGAAAGAAUUUGACCAAGGGGCAUAAGGCAGAAGGAGAGACCCGGGCAAGCUUCAGAGCAAGAGUGGAAGUUUAUUAAAAAGCUUCAGAGCAGGAAUGAAAGAAAAGUACACUUGGAAGAGAGCCAAACAGGUGACUUGAGAGAUCAAGUAAAACCUCAUUAACGUAACUGCAACAAUGAAGACAUUACCUAAAGUUCUGAUCUGUGUUUGGUGCUGUGGGGGAAUUAGAAGUGAGUCAUGUGGUCCCUGACCUCAAAGGACUCCAGCACGCAUCCCAUCAAUCUGCAGAAGGAGAGGACAGACUGCAAAAAUGGGACGAGCCUCGGGGCUGGACACAAGUGGCUGGGAAACGUCCGCAGCAGGUCUCAUUCCCCGGGAGGCGAGGAUGAAAAUUACAGGUGACACAUGGGUCAAUGGCCUGUCUCCUGACUCAAGACACACAAGGAAGAGACUCUUUGAAGCCUCAGGAGCAGACACUCAAUUGGAUAGCGCCUGGGAUUUGAAGGUCUGCCAUAGAGUCCGAAGAGAGGGGGAAAACACACGCAAACCACCCAAUCACAGGGACCCCUGUGGCUCCUCACCCACCCUCCACCCUCCACCUUCCACUUAUUCCACUCCUCUCGAUUGUCAAUUAAAAUAAACAGCCUUGUAUUCCA